rnacentral:sRNA from 1 species
GUUUGUUCUUAAUGUU